rnacentral:rRNA from 1 species
AGAAGCGGGGGAUAACACCUGGAAACAGAUGCUAAUACCGCAUAACAACUUGGACCGCAUGGUCCGAGCUUGAAAGAUGGCUUCGGCUAUCACUUUUGGAUGGUCCCGCGGCGUAUUAGCUAGAUGGUGGGGUAACGGCUCACCAUGGCAAUGAUACGUAGCCGACCUGAGAGGGUAAUCGGCCACAUUGGGACUGAGACACGGCCCAAACUCCUACGGGAGGCAGCAGUAGGGAAUCUUCCACAAUGGACGAAAGUCUGAUGGAGCAACGCCGCGUGAGUGAAGAAGGGUUUCGGCUCGUAAAACUCUGUUGUUAAAGAAGAACAUAUCUGAGAGUAACUGUUCAGGUAUUGACGGUAUUUAACCAGAAAGCCACGGCUAACUACGUGCCAGC